rnacentral:misc_RNA from 1 species
AAAUCAAAAACAAUUUCGGUUAAAAAAAACUUCCAUUUAAUCAUUGAAAAUACCAGCUACAUUUUAGAAACGGAAACCGAAAAUAACAGAAGUGUAUUAAAAUAAAACGGAAGAGUUUAUGUUUACAUUUACAUAUUGAAACAUAUCAUGAAUGUAACUUAGUUGAAGUGUGAGGAAAAUAUUAAAUGCAGGAGAUUGUUUCUAAUAAUUCAAUUGUAUGAAUAUUAUUUUUACACUGGAAUAGAGAUAUUUAAUUUUUUUUUGAUUCUUAUGCAUUGACAUUUCUUGGAAAUUAUUUCAAGCACUAAAAGAGAUUAUGUUUAUAGUCCAAAAUUACCGUCGGUUUACGGCAAAUAUGUAUAUAUUUUAGAUUAACAACUCAGUAAUCAUAAUUAACUAGAUAUCAGAUGUCCUAUAAACUAUCACAGGUGUUUUCCCGUUCAAUUUUAUAUAUAUAUAUAUAGUUCAGUUUUUGGAAACGAUAAGAGAUAUUAGAUAGGACCUAUGAAUUUGCAAAUCCGAAUGUCAUUUAUUAAAGGGAUAUAAACAUUCAGUAUCUAAAUGCAUGGGUUUAGGCCUCAGCGACUGAUCAGUGAAAGUUCAACGAAUUCGUCAAGGGAAACUGAGGGUACCAAAACACAAAACCGUGAUGAAAACAUUAAGUCCGAUGCAUCUACAUCCGCCUUAGGAUGUAAAUCCGGAUUUCAGCGAAACUACAACUUGGAGCCGCGGACCGCGCAGUCGUCCCAUGAAGAUCCAAGAACACAGCGUGAAGAGAGAAAGAGACGGUCAUGUAGUUCAUCAACGCGCUCAGAACAAAACCAUUGUGUGAUUAUCAAUGAAAAGGAAAAGCCAACCGUUCAUGCUGCAAUUAAAACAUAUGACAUGCAAAAUGUUAAACAUAAAACUAACGAGUGCUUACCAACUGCAUGCUCAUGUUGCUCAAAAGUUUCAAAUUCUGCUACAGAUAUGACGGAUGACGGUAGUGAUUCAUUGUUUCUUAAAAAAGCCAUAGGCUCAUCACGCCAUUCUUUUUGUCAACAUUCAGAUGGAAAAAAGGACUGUCAAGGAAAUCAUCAAGAACAAGUAAAAUAUGCUACCACAUGUCACAAUCCCCAUCCUGAAAAUGAGAUAGAAUUAGCUGAAUGCAACUCUGAUGAAACUCAAAGAAAAUAUACAUAUCUCGUGAAUAAUUCUGAAGCUGAAACAUUUGACAAUGUUAGAUCUCAAGCUGAACAUGAUGCCAGUGUUAAUAGUUCUAAGGCAAACUCUGAUAAAAACAAGAACGUUCUUAAAGAAAGAGAUGAUAUCAUAAAUGAUUAUCAACUACAGGAAAUGAUUUGCCAUAAAGCAAUCAAACAAAAGUUAGAUCAAGACUAUUCAGAGAUACAAAAACUUCGAAAAAACUACAGUAGUUUGAAGAAAUUAUUUUUAGCACUAGCGACAUUAAACAUAAUUCUCAUUCUGUGUGUUGUGUCCGUGAUGCCAGUGAUACUAGUCACCUUUAAACUUUCUGGCGGCGACGGCAACGAUCCCUCCGAUGAAGACAUAGAACAUAUAUCAGCGAAAUAUUUAUCUUCAACUGAAGCCAAAAAAGUGGUGAAGGGACACAUUCUCUGCGUUGACUGUCAUAGAAUUAAAGAGCAAUGGUCAGAUAUAUUCACACGAGAAAGUGGAAAAGACUGCUGCUUAGAAGAUGUUGCUUCACUUGUGGACAGAGUGUUGGGAUUUAAUGAAAAGAAAUUGAAAGACAUAAAUUCAGCGGUGAAUAGAAAAAUAAAACACUAUACCCACGGACUGGAAAAUGAUAUUUCUGCCUUAGAGACUGUUGUAUUUAACGAAACUUUCAAGCCGCCUAAUUCAACAGAAGGAAGAGCAAAACACAGAAGACAAAAUGAAAACCUCUCCAGGCUUUGCGACAUCAUGGCCUAGCAUGGUCACAGGACUUUCCUAAGACAACAUCGGGGCCUCUAAGACAUCGUAACAAUGCUAUACAUGUGGUCAGUGGCGGAGUUUAUUUUCUGUACAGUUGUAUUCGCUUUGAUCUUGGUCAGUGCAAAGGGAACGUUCCGGUUGGAUAUAAAAUCGCUGUCAACCAUGGAGGUCUGAAUAAAACAUUAG